rnacentral:rRNA from 1 species
AGAAGGCUUUCGGGUUUGUAAACCACUUUUGCCCGGGACGAAAGGGGGGACCUGAAUAAGGUUGCCCGAUGACGGUACCGGGAGAAUAAGCCACGGCUAACUCUGUGCCAGCAGCCGCGGUAAGACAGAGGUGGCAAGCGUUGUUCGGAGUUACUGGGCGUAAAGAGUCUGUAGGUGGUCUGUCAAGUCUUUGGUGAAAGGCCGUGGCUUAACCAUGGGAAUGCCAAAGAGACUGGCAGACUGGAGGCUGGGAGAGGGAAGCGGAAUUUCUGGUGUAGCGGUGAAAUGCGUAGAUAUCAGAAGGAAGGCCGGUGGCGAAGGCGGCUUCCUGGAACAGACCUGACACUGAGAGACGAAAGCGUGGGGAGCAAACAGGAUUAGAUACCCUGGUAGUCCACGCCCUAAACGAUGGGUA